CAGUUUUAAUAAUCAAACAUAUAUAAACUUCUCCCAAAUUAUUCAUCUUAAUUUACAUCUUUAGCAAUAUCAUAACCAAUCAAAUUCAAAAACACAUUCCUUUCAACUUCAUUUUAUCAUUAUAUAUAUAUAUAUAAAACUGAUAAUUGACAAAAGAAGACGUUACAUUUUGCACUAGCGCUUUCACUCUAUUAGAUCUUCAGGUGAAAAAUGUAACGUCUUCUUUUGUCAAUUAUCAGUUUUAUAUAUAUUUUACUUGCAUGUCGUCAACUUAAACAUUUUCUAUAUAUAUAUAUAUAUAUUUUUUUUUUUUUUUUGUUGGGGUGGGUCUGGGGAGUCUGUUUACAUUUCAGAAAAUAUAUUAUGAAAAUAUACAUAUAUAUCUUAUUGAAUUAUUUAACUUGUAACAAUAUUGGUGGUAUUUUGUAUAUAAACUGGGUAAUCAAAAGUCGUUUAUAUGGAAAAAAACCUGUGUCAGGGAGAUUAAGUUUUCUAAAAGGCUUGAUCUAUGGGUGGUCCCCUAAAACUGGCUACACUCACAGACUCAGACUCACCAGUGGCCUGUUUGUGUAUUCUGGAGCCUGUUGUUAUAGCCAGUUUUAACCAAUAGCACAUGAGACGGAAACCUAGCAGUCUAGAAACUCCAGACACAUUACCUGGGGUAAAUUUGUGUUUUUACUGGUAAAAUAUAACGAAACACUACACAAGAUCCAGAAAGUUCUGUGAAAACUGAUCAUUGUUUUCACUUCUAAAUGAUACAUGCUAGUACAUGUAGAUCAGGAAAAGCACUGUAAUAUCUAUCACAUUAAGAUAUUUCUAGACAUGUACAAAUCAUUUCUUUUGAAAAUGACAAAACAAAAGGUCCAAGUGUUUUUUUAUUAGAUUGAUAUUUCAUGCCACUCUGGUUUAUAAUAACACACAUACUAAACUAUCCUGACCUUUAUAACCAUUAGGCACUUAAAUUAUCAUGGAUAGGUGAUCAAAUGCUGAAAACGACACCAAAAGGCACACUCUCUACAUACACACUGCUGUCAUAAAGACAAAUUUAGCACUAAUCCUGUAUAUGUUAUUUUUAAACAUCCAAUAAUUUCAAGUCAAUAAUAACAAAUAAAAAACAA